CGCAAGCCUGACGGAGCAACGCCGCGUGUGGGAAGAAGGCUCUUGGGCUGUCAACCACUUUUCUAAGGGAAGAAGCCCUGACGGUACCUGAGGAAUCAGCCUCGGCUAACUCCGUGCCAGAAGCCGCGGUAAUACGGAGGAGGCAAGCGUUAUCCGGAAUUAUUGGGCGUAAAGCGUCCGCAGGGGGCACAUCAAGUCUGCUGUUAAAGCCUGGAGCUUAACUCCGGUAGAGCAGUGGAAACUGGUGUGCUAGAGGGCGACAGGGUAGAGGGAAUUCCCAGUGUAGCGGUGAAAUGCGUAGAGAUUGGGAAGAACACCGGUCGCGAAAGCGCUCUACUGGGUCGCACCUGACCCUCAGGGAAGAAAGCUAAGGUAGCG
rnacentral:rRNA from 1 species